GAGUUUGAUCCUGGCUCAGGAUGAACGCCGGCGGUGUGCCUAAUACAUGCAAGUCGAGCGCACUGGCCCAACUGAUAUGACGUGCUUGCACUGAAUUGACGUUGGAUUACCAGUGAGCGGCGGACGGGUGAGUAACACGUGGGUAACCUGCCCUGGAGCGGGGGAUAACAUCUGGAAACAGGUGCUAAUACCGCAUAACAACGAAAACCACAUGGUUUUCGUUUCAAAGAUGGUUUCGGCUAUCACUUCAGGAUGGGCCCGCGGUGCAUUAGCUAGUUGGUAGGGUAACGGCUUACCAAGGCAAUGAUGCAUAGCCGAGUUGAGAGACUGAUCGGCCACAAUGGAACUGAGACACGGUCCAUACUCCUACGGGAGGCAGCAGUAGGGAAUCUUCCACAAUGGGCGCAAGCCUGAUGGAGCAACACCGCGUGAGUGAAGAAGGGUUUCGGCUCGUAAAGCUCUGUUGUUGGAGAAGAACGUGCGUGAGAGUAACUGUUCACGCAGUGACGGUAUCCAACCAGAAAGUCACGGCUAACUACGUGCCAGCAGCCGCGGUAAUACGUAGGUGGCAAGCGUUAUCCGGAUUUAUUGGGCGUAAAGCGAGCGCAGGCGGUUGCUUAGGUCUGAUGUGAAAGCCUUCGGCUUAACCGAAGAAGGGCAUCGGAAACCGGGCGACUUGAGUGCAGAAGAGGAGAGUGGAACUCCAUGUGUAGCGGUGAAAUGCGUAGA
rnacentral:rRNA from 1 species